rnacentral:rRNA from 1 species
UACGAAGGGUUCUAGCGUUGUUCGGAAUCACUGGGCGUAAAGCGCGCGUAGGCGGCUUAUCAAGUCAGAGGUGAAAGCCUGGAGCUUAACUCCAGAACUGCCUUUGAAACUGUUAAGCUGGAGUGUCGGAGGGGAUAGCGGAAUUGCUAAUGUAGAGGUGAAAUUCGUAGAUAUUAGCAGGAACACCGGUGACGAAGGCGGCUAUCUGGACGACGACUGACGCUGAGGCGCGAAAGCGUGGGGAUCAAACAGG